UACCUGUACCUGGGAAACAACUUUAACCUGC
rnacentral:piRNA from 1 species